UAAGUUAGAAAGGGCGCACGGUGGAUGCCUUGACACUAGGAGUCGAUGAAGGACGGGACUAACGCCGAUAUGCUUCGGGGAGCUGUAAGUAAGCUUUGAUCCGAAGAUUUCCGAAUGGGGAAACCCACCAUACGUAAUGGUAUGGUAUCCUUAUCUGAAUACAUAGGAUAAGGAAGACAGACCCAGGGAACUGAAACAUCUAAGUACCUGGAGGAAGAGAAAGCAAAUGCGAUUUCCUGAGUAGCGGCGAGCGAAACGGAACAUAGCCCAAACCAAGAGGCUUGCCUCUUGGGGUUGUAGGACAUUCUAUACGGAGUUACAAAGGAACGAGGUAGACGAAGCGACCUGGAAAGGUCCGUCGUAGAGGGUAACAACCCCGUAGUCGAAACUUCGUUCUCUCUUGAAUGUAUCCUGAGUACGGCGGAACACGUGAAAUUCCGUCGGAAUCUGGGAGGACCAUCUCCCAAGGCUAAAUACUCCCUAGUGAUCGAUAGUGAACCAGUACCGUGAGGGAAAGGUGAAAAGCACCCCGGAAGGGGAGUGAAAGAGAUCCUGAAACCGUGUGCCUACAAAUAGUCAGAGCCCGUUAACGGGUGAUGGCGUGCCUUUUGUAGAAUGAACUGGCGAGUUACGAUCCCGUGCGAGGUUAAGCUGAAGAGGCGGAGCCGCAGCGAAAGCGAGUCUGAAUAGGGCGUUUAGUACGUGGUCGUAGACCCGAAACCAGGUGAUCUACCCAUGUCCAGGGUGAAGUUCAGGUAACACUGAAUGGAGGCCCGAACCCACGCACGUUGAAAAGUGCGGGGAUGAGGUGUGGGUAGCGGUGAAAUUCCAAUCGAACCUGGAGAUAGCUGGUUCUCCCCGAAAUAGCUUUAGGGCUAGCCUUAAGUGUAAGAGUCUUGGAGGUAGAGCACUGAUUGGACUAGGGGCCCUCAUCGGAUUACCGAAUUCAGUCAAACUCCGAAUGCCAAUGACUUAUCCUUAGGAGUCAGACUGCGAGUGAUAAGAUCCGUAGUCAAAAGGGAAACAGCCCAGACCGCCAGCUAAGGUCCCAAAGUGUGUAUUAAGUGGAAAAGGAUGUGGAGUUGCUUAGACAACUAGGAUGUUGGCUUAGAAGCAGCCACCAUUUAAAGAGUGCGUAAUAGCUCACUAGUCGAGUGACUCUGCGCCGAAAAUGUACCGGGGCUAAAUACACCACCGAAGCUGCGGAUUGAUACCAAUGGUAUCAGUGGUAGGGGAGCGUUCUAAGGACAGUGAAGUCGGACCGGAAGGACUGGUGGAGUGCUUAGAAGUGAGAAUGCCGGUAUGAGUAGCGAAAGGCGGGUGAGAAUCCCGUCCACCGAAUGCCUAAGGUUUCCUGAGGAAGGCUCGUCCGCUCAGGGUUAGUCAGGACCUAAGCCGAGGCCGACAGGCGUAGGCGAUGGACAACAGGUUGAUAUUCCUGUACCACCUCUUUAUCGUUUGAGCAAUGGAGGGACGCAGAAGGAUAGAAGAAGCGUGCGAUUGGUUGUGCACGUCCAAGCAGUUAGGCUGAUAAGUAGGCAAAUCCGCUUAUCGUGAAGGCUGAGCUGUGAUGGGGAAGCUCCUUAUGGAGCGAAGUCUUUGAUUCCCCGCUGCCAAGAAAAGCUCUAGCGAGAUAAAAGGUGCCUGUACCGCAAACCGACACAGGUAGGCGAGGAGAGAAUCCUAAGGUGUGCGAGAGAACUCUGGUUAAGGAACUCGGCAAAAUGACCCCGUAACUUCGGGAGAAGGGGUGCUUUCUUAACGGAAAGCCGCAGUGAAUAGGCCCAAGCGACUGUUUAGCAAAAACACAGCUCUCUGCGAAGCCGUAAGGCGAAGUAUAGGGGGUGACACCUGCCCGGUGCUGGAAGGUUAAGGAGAGGGGUUAGCGUAAGCGAAGCUCUGAACUGAAGCCCCAGUAAACGGCGGCCGUAACUAUAACGGUCCUAAGGUAGCGAAAUUCCUUGUCGGGUAAGUUCCGACCCGCACGAAAGGUGUAACGAUUUGGGCACUGUCUCAACCAGAGACUCGGUGAAAUUAUAGUACCUGUGAAGAUGCAGGUUACCCGCGACAGGACGGAAAGACCCCGUGGAGCUUUACUGUAGCCUGAUAUUGAAUUUUGGUACAGUUUGUACAGGAUAGGCGGGAGCCUUUGAAACCGGAGCGCUAGCUUCGGUGGAGGCGCUGGUGGGAUACCGCCCUGACUGUAUUGAAAUUCUAACCUACGGGUCUUAUCGACCCGGGAGACAGUGUCAGGUGGGCAGUUUGACUGGGGCGGUCGCCUCCUAAAGUGUAACGGAGGCGCCCAAAGGUUCCCUCAGAAUGGUUGGAAAUCAUUCGUAGAGUGCAAAGGCAUAAGGGAGCUUGACUGCGAGACCUACAAGUCGAGCAGGGACGAAAGUCGGGCUUAGUGAUCCGGUGGUUCCGCAUGGAAGGGCCAUCGCUCAACGGAUAAAAGCUACCCCGGGGAUAACAGGCUUAUCUCCCCCAAGAGUCCACAUCGACGGGGAGGUUUGGCACCUCGAUGUCGGCUCAUCGCAUCCUGGGGCUGUAGUCGGUCCCAAGGGUUGGGCUGUUCGCCCAUUAAAGCGGUACGCGAGCUGGGUUCAGAACGUCGUGAGACAGUUCGGUCCCUAUCCGUCGUGGGCGUAGGAAAUUUGAGAGGAGCUGUCCUUAGUACGAGAGGACCGGGAUGGACGCACCGCUGGUGUACCAGUUGUUCUGCCAAGGGCAUAGCUGGGUAGCUAUGUGCGGAAGGGAUAAGUGCUGAAAGCAUCUAAGCAUGAAGCCCCCCUCAAGAUGAGAUUUCCCAUAGCGUAAGCUAGUAAGAUCCCUGAAAGAUGAUCAGGUUGAUAGGUUCGAGGUGGAAGCAUGGUGACAUGUGGAGCUGACGAAUACUAAUAGAUCGAGGACUUAACCA
rnacentral:rRNA from 1 species